rnacentral:lncRNA from 1 species
UUUUCUUGUAACAAUUUUUCGCACACUUGUCCCUUUGGUAUUAGAUUUACCACCCCAAACUUAGAAUUCACACAGUUUCCAAAAUCCACAACAUUUAUGCUGAGCAAGGGUAGAAGAGAUUAUUAUCUAUUUUUUUUUUCUUUUUCUGGCCAUAGGGUAACAUAAGCGGUUUACAAACAAACAAAAUGGUUAAAGGCUCAAAGGGGUUCGCAACGGAUAAAACGUACAAGGAUGGCUGGAAAGGCUCAA